AGAACGAACGCUGGCGGCAGGCUUAACACAUGCAAGUCGAACGCUCCGCAAGGAGAGUGGCAGACGGGUGAGUAACGCGUGGGAACCUUCCUAUUGGUUUGGAAUAGCUCAGGGAAACUUGGGGUAAUACCGGAUAAGCCCUACGGGGGAAAGAUUUAUCGCCAAUAGAUGGGCCCGCGUCUGAUUAGCUAGUUGGUGAGGUAACGGCUCACCAAGGCGACGAUCAGUAGCUGGUUUGAGAGAAUGACCAGCCACACUGGGACUGAGACACGGCCCAGACUCCUACGGGAGCAGCAGUGGGGAAUCUUGGACAAUGGGCGCAAGCCUGAUCCAGCCAUGCCGCGUGAGUGACGAAGGCCUUAGGGUUGUAAAGCUCUUUUAGCAGGGAAGAUAAUGACGGUACCUGCAAGAAUAAGCCCCGGCUAACUUCGUGACCAGCAGCCCGAC
rnacentral:rRNA from 1 species